AGCCUCAUCAGCAACCCCCCAGCCAUGAUUAACCCUGCUAAUUCAGAUACAAUGGCCUGUGAGUAUCUGUCUGUGGAAGUAAUGGAGCGCUGGAUUAUCAUUGGGUUUCUUCUUUGUCAUGGGUGCCUCAACUCCAAUAGCCAGUGCCAGAAGCUGUGGAAGCUGUGUCUGCAGGGCUCCCUGUACAUCACCCUUAUCCGUGAGGAUGUGCUGCAGGUGCACAAAGUCACCGAGGACCUGUUUAGCAGUUUGAAAGGGUGAGAAACACGACAGCCAACUGAUCUUCCUUGAAUAGUUUUUAGCCCCUCCCAACAUCCUUUUUCAGUCUCCACAGGUGUUCCCAGAUACAGGUGGUAAUGAUUAAUUCUAACUAUUGAAGAAGUAUACAUUAAAUACCUACUAUUAGCUAACUGCUUCACUGGGUUUUAGGGAUACAAUAAUGAAUAAGAUAACAUGGAGGUUAAGAGCACAGACUCUGAAACCAGAUUGCUUGGGUUUGAAUUCAGGCUCUACCACUAGUUGUGUGGCCUUGGGCAAGUUGCUCAAAUUUCCCAUGCCAUUACCUCAAUUUCCUCAUCUAUAAAAUGUGGAUAAUAGUAGUACCUCCCUAUGGCCUACCUCAUAGGGUUGUUGUGAAGAAUAAAAGGGUUAUUAUUUGUAAAGCAGGUAGAAAAUUCCUGAUACAUUGUAAGUGCUAUGUGCUUGUU
rnacentral:sRNA from 1 species